UACGUAGGUGGCGAGCGUUGUCCGGAUUUACUGGGCGUAAAGAGCGCGCAGGCGGUCGUUCAAGUCGAGUGUGAAAGCCCCCGGCUCAACUGGGGAGGGUCAUUCGAUACUGAUCGACUGGAAGGCAGGAGAGGGAAGCGGAAUUCCCGGUGUAGUGGUGAAAUGCGUAGAUAUCGGGAGGAACACCAGUGGCGAAGGCGGCUUCCUGGCCUGUUCUUGACGCUGAGGCGCGAAAGCUAGGGGAGCAAACGGG
rnacentral:rRNA from 1 species